rnacentral:rRNA from 1 species
AUACGCCGAUCGCCUUGAGUUGAUCAUGGCUCAGGACGAACGCUGGCGGCGUGCCUAACACAUGCAAGUCGAACGGGGCCAGGGGCAACUCUGGUUCAGUGGCGGACGGGUGCGUAACACGUGAGGAACAUGACCUUCGGCGGGGGAUAGCCGGCCCAACGGCCGGGUAAUACCGCGUACGACCAUUUGGGGACAUCCUCGAGUGGUGAAAGCAGCAAUGCGCCGAUGGAGUGCCUCGCGGCCUAUCAGCUAGUUGGUGGGGUAACGGCCUACCAAGGCAACGACGGGUAGCUGGUCUGAGAGGAUGGCCAGCCACAUUGGGACUGAGACACGGCCCAGACUCCUACGGGAGGCAGCAGUGGGGAAUAUUGCGCAAUGGACGAAAGUCUGACGCAGCGACGCCGCGUGUGGGAUGACGGUCUUCGGAUUGUAAACCACUGUCGGGAGGGACGAAUACGCCGCAAGGCGGGUGACGGUACCUCCAAAGGAAGCACCGGCUAACUCCGUGCCAGCAGCCGCGGUAAUACGGAGGGUGCGAGCGUUGUCCGGAAUCACUGGGCGUAAAGGGCGCGUGGGCGGCCUGAUAAGUAGGGGGUGAAAUCCUGCGGCUUAACCGCAGGGCUGCCUUCUAAACUGUCAGGCUCGAGCACAGUAGAGGCAGGUGGAAUUCCCGGUGUAGCGGUGGAAUGCGUAGAGAUCGGGAAGAACAUCAGUGGCGAAGGCGGCCUGCUGGGCUGUUGCUGACGCUGAAGCGCGAC